rnacentral:rRNA from 1 species
AUUGAACGCUGGCGGCAUGCUUUACACAUGCAAGUCGAACGGCAGCGCGGGCUUCGGUCUGGCGGCGAGUGGCGAACGGGUGAGUAAUACAUCGGAACGUGCCCAGUAGUGGGGGAUAGCUCGGCGAAAGCCGGAUUAAUACCGCAUACGACCUGAGGGUGAAAGCGGGGGAUCUUCGGACCUCGCGCUAUUGGAGCGGCCGAUGGCAGAUUAGCUAGUUGGUGGGGUAAAGGCCUACCAAGGCGACGAUCUGUAGCUGGUCUGAGAGGACGACCAGCCACACUGGGACUGAGACACGGCCCAGACUCCUACGGGAGGCAGCAGUGGGGAAUUUUGGACAAUGGGCGAAAGCCUGAUCCAGCAAUGCCGCGUGUGUGAUGAAGGCCUUCGGGUUGUAAAGCACUUUUGGCGGGAACGAAAAGGACUGUGCCAAUACCACGGUUCGAUGACGGUACCCGCAGAAUAAGCACCGGCUAACUACGUG